rnacentral:rRNA from 1 species
GAGUUUGAUCGUGGCUCAGGAUGAACGCUGGCGGCGUGCCUAACACAUGCAAGUCGAACGAAGCUUGACGAUAGAUUCUUCGGAUGAAAUCAGAUAUGACUGAGUGGCGGACGGGUGAGUAACGCGUGAGGAACCUGCCCUUCGGAGGGGGAUAGCGUCUGGAAACGGACGGUAAUACCGCAUAAUGUAUUUUGAUGACAUCAUUAAAAUACCAAAGCUUUUGCGCCGAAGGAUGGCCUCGCGUCUGAUUAGAUAGUUGGUGGGUAACGGCCUACCAAGUCGACGAUCAGUAGCCGGACUGAGAGGUUGAACGGCCACAUUGGGACUGAGACACGGCCCAGACUCCUACGGGAGGCAGCAGUGGGGAAUAUUGCACAAUGGGCGCAAGCCUGAUGCAGCAACGCCGCGUGAAGGAAACGGUUUUUCGGAUUGUAAACUCUGUUCUUAGCGAAGAACAAUGACGGUAGCUAAGGAGC